UUUUUUUUUUUUUUUGGUCUUUGUCCUUUUAGGGCUGCACCCACUGCAUGUGGAGGUUCCCAGGCUAGGGGUUGAGUUGGAGCUACAGCUGCUGGCCUUCACCACAGCCACAGCCACAGCCACUUCAGAUACAAGCUGCAUCUGCCACUUAUACCACAGCUCAUGGCAAUGCUGGAUCCUUAACCCAAUGAGCAAGGCCAGGGACCGAACCCCAAAACUCAUGGUUCCUAGUUGGAUUCAUUUCCGCUGGGCCAUCAUGGGAACUCCUAUAUAAGGCCAUCUUAAAUGAUCUCCUGACACAACAGCUCUGUUGGCAGAGGGUUUGAAGUACUAGCACGGGGUUCUACAGCAGUGGCAUGGAUUCAAUUCCUAGCCAGAGAAUAUUUGCAAGACUCCAAUUGCUGCAGAAAAACAAAUAGGUAAGUUAAAGAAAUGCAUACAGAAGGCAAGAUAUUAAUCUAGAAAUAAAUUCAUAUAUAAGAAUCUUAGGGAAUUACGUAAGGUCACUUGUCACAUGGCUCAAAAUCUUGACUGAUUCAACGGGGUCAGGUUGCCUGCUUGUAUUUAGAGGCAGUCCUCUGGACCCAGACACCAUUUCUGGUUCACACUGAGCUGGCCAUUUGGGUGUUUUUCGUCAAUAUGUAUUUGGAUUUUCACCGAUUGGUAGUUCUCAAAUUCUCUUUGACAGCAAAGUAAGAGAUAUCCAUGUCCGUACAUAUUCUUUUUCUCAUAUUAUCCUUGACUUUGUUCCAAUGUAAGUGACUAGAUAUACUUUCGGAUGCUAUACAUCAGGAUCUCACUGCUUCCCCAUUCCAAGGGGAGAGUUCACAUCUAUUACCCCCAAAUCCCAGUCCUUCCCACACACUCACCCUCCAAUCUCACAACCACACUUCCUUUUUUUUCUUUUUUUUUUUUUUGACUUUCGUCCUUUGUCCUUUUCAGGGCUGUCCCUGUGGCAUAUGGCUGUUCCAAGGCUAGGGGUCUAAUCGGAGCUGUAGCCACCGGCCUAUGCCAGAGCCACAGCAACACCAGAUCCAAGAUGCAUCUGUGACCUACACCAUAGCUCCCAGCCACGCUGGAUCCUUAACCCACUGAGCAAGGCCAGGGCUUGAACCUGCAACCUCAUGGUUCCUAGUUGGAUUCGUUUCUGAUGCACCACAAUGGGAACUUCAUCCCAAUCACACAUCUGUUCUCCAGUCUAUGAGUUUCUUUUGUGCCAUUUGUGGGAUUACUGAUGGAAGGGAUAUCCCAGGCUCUUUGUCUCUAUCUCUCUUAUAUCACUUAGCCUGGCAGUUUCUUGUUCCAUCUCUGUGGCUCUGAAAGGCUUUGUUUUGAUAUUAUUUUAUGGCUGAAUAGUGUUUCGUUGUGUAUUUGUACAAUAUCUACCUAAACCAUUCAUAUGUUGAUGGAUAUUGUGUUUGAUUCCAUGUCUUGGCCUUUGUGAAUAAUGGUGCAUUGAAUAUAGAGGGGCUUUUACCUUUCGGAUAGAACUUUUUUCCAAAUAUAUGUCCCAGAGUGGGAUUGUUAUAUUCCACAGGGGUUCUUUAUUUAUUUUUUGGAUUUACCUCAUCAUGUCCACAGUGUUUGUAACUUAUGAAAUACACACUCGCACUGUGAAAGGCACCCUCUUUUCAACACCCUCCUCAGGAUUUGUUAUUGGGAGGCUUAGUAGUAAUAGCUAUUCAGACAGGUGUGAGGUGGUCUGUCAGAGUAGUUUGCAUUUUCAUUUCUCUCCAAAUGAGUGAUGGUGAUAUUUUUUUGUGCUUAUGGCCCUCUGUAUAUUUGCUUUAGGGAAAUGUCUAUUUAGGACUUUGGCCCAUUUUUCCAUUGGGUUGUUGGUUUUGAUUUGCAGGUGGGUGGUAUCAUUUGCCCAGCUGGAAAUUGUGAAACCCCAGCCUGACCUGACCUUGAGAUCUGGAUCAAAUGCCUCUGGGUUAUGCAAGGAUGUUGGUCAAAUGGGGAUAUUUUGGUGAACAGCUGCUCUUAUCCCUGUGCUUCUUCUCUCAAGAGGGCUGCUGAAACUCCUUCCUUUCUUUCCAUGGGAGCCGCUUUUCCUCUCUCUAUACACAUGCUCUGAUGACCGGAUCCAUAGCCAAAUUCAGGAGCAUUAAGGCUGGUAGAUUGAUAUAAAGAAAGGUCUCAUGGAGAUCCCACCUGGCUCUCUUGGGAAAAGUUCUGUCUUUGCGCUGGGGGUGGUUUGGUAACCUCUGUGGUUUGAAACCAUCGAUGGGCUGGCAUGUCAUGCAUGCUUCAGGUGGGGUCAAUCAAAAGAGGGAUCAAGAGAUAGAUAAAAAAGAAAGAAACAAAAGAAGCAAGACUUUAUUGUAUGAAUUAAGGCAUAAGUGUUGGAAAAUGAAGAAAAAAUCAAUGGUUCUAUAUAUACGCAACUAUCUUCAUCAAUCCAUUAAUGCAGGGAUAUCUAAAAUGAAGAGAAGGGGGUCAUGAGUUGAUGUGUCAGGAACUGAGGUUCUGGAUGGUGUGGCAGGGGGUAGUUUGCCUCAGGGAUCUGAAAGACUUAGAGAAAUAGCCCACUUGGAAUGGACCUUCUUGGUAUUUCAGGAAAGUGGAGGAGGGGAAUCCAACCAGCAUAUUGCCUAAGGACAAUAGCCAGCGAGAGGAGGAAAACCUGACAGUUGCUGUUAAAGUAGAUGUCCACAAGAUGGCACCAGAGUACCUUUUGGACCCAGGUGCAAGGCUGCAGGUGCACUCUCAGAGGUAGGCUGCAUGGUGAGUUUGGUGGAAUCCGCCCCGAGAGGUUUGGGUUUAUUUUCAGGGCAGCUGGGACUCUGUUCCAAGAUGCCUCCUGUCAGGCAGAAGACACAGGUGUCCCUUCAGCAUUUGGUGUGGAUUGGCAGUCUGGUUGGGGACCAGUUUCUUUUGAAACUUUGAGGGAUUCAGAAUGCCUUUGGUUCCUCCAGAUAUGGGAGGGGAGAGCCACGCUGCAUCAUUUUUAAAUCACGAGCUGGCCACGUUCAGGCCCCUGACUGUCAGGGGGUUAAGUAUGGGGAGAGAGAGGCUGGUGGUAAUGAAUGAAUGCAGACAUCACAGGCAUGAGGACAAGAAGCUGUGCAAAUCCCUCUGUUGUUUUUGCUCAAGAGACCUAGUGAAAUGUCCAUCUUGCCUUUUGAGUUGAGCAUCUAUUUUCUGUUGGGUACCAGGGGAGGGAGGCCUGACCAAAACCAGGUUUGAUGAAUGAAGCAGGGUUGAUCUGCAUGAUCAAGGAAGCUCUCAGGGAGUUCCCUUGUGGCCACCUGACUUAAGAACCUCACUCUGUCCCUUCUGUGGCUGUUGUAAUAGCUUCAUUGGGAAGCUAAACCCUGGACAGAAAAGAUAAAAACAAUGUCACAGGUGGCACCCAAAUAAAUUUGUAAAGAAAAGGAGGUUUUGUAAAGAAAAGGAGGUAUUGCAAAGAUGUAGUUCAAUGGAUAUAGAAAUCAAGAAAUACACAUAUACCUGCCUACAGAUUAGCUAUGGGAAAUGAUAGAUAAGGCAAUCAUAAUAGAUCUCCUGGCACAACACCUCUGUUGGCAGUAGGGAUUCAAGGACAAGCAUGGUGUUGUACAGCAGUGGCAUGAAUUCAAUUCUUAGCCAGGCAGUACCUAUAGGACACAAAUGUGUGCAGAGUAAUAAAUAGGUAAGUAAAAUAAAUGAAUAAAUACAUAAAUUAAGAUGUUAGAUAAAAAUUCAUACACCUCAGGUAAUUACUUAAUGUUGCAUGUCACAUGGCUACAAACCUUGACAGGUUCAUUGGAGUCAUGUUGCCUGUUUUAUUAUGGAUAGGCAGUCUUCUGGACCAAGACACCUUCUCUGGUCAACACUGAGUUGGUACUUUUAGUUUUUUCCCAUCAAUUUCGAUAUCCACUAUUGCUGACUUAUAAUGCUCUAUUACUCUUUGACAGCAAAGUAACACUGUCAUGCAUGUAUAUACAGAUAUUUUUCUCACAUUAUCUUUGAUCUUGUUCCAAAUAAUGUGACUAGAUAUACUUCCCCAUAUUAUAUAGCAGGAUCUUAUUGCUUACCCACUCCAAGUGCAAGAUUUUGCAUCUAUUACCCCCCAAAUCCCAGUCCUUCCCACACACACCCCCCCUCCAAUUUGGCAACCACACAUCUGUUUUCCAGUCCAUGAGUUUCUUUUCUGUAGAGGGGUUCAUUUGUGCCAUUUGUUCGAUUCCAGAGAGAAGGGGUAUCCUAGGCUAUUUGUAUUUCCCUAUCACACAUCUGUCACUUAGGAUGAGAGUUUCUAUUUCAAACUCUGUGGCUGUGAAUGGUUUUAUUUUGUUCUUGUUUUAUGGCUGAGUCACGUUCCAUUGUGUGUGUACAACAUCUACCUAUUUCAAUCAUUUGUCAAUAGAUAUUGUGUUGGUUUCCCUGUCUUGCUAUUCUGAAGAGUGCUGAAAUGAAUAUAGUGGGGAUUUUAAUUUUCAGAAAAUAACAUUUUUGUUCUGGAUAUAUGCUCAAGUGUUGGAUUGCUGUUUACUUCAGUGGUUCCUUUUUCUGGAUUUACUUCAAUCCUGUAGUCGAGAGCAAUGGUACCAAAUUAACUGUUGGAGGGGACCCUCUUCAUGUCACCCUCCUCAGGAUUUGUUAUUUAUAGACUUAUUAAUAAUGGCAUUCAGACAGGGGUCAGAUGGUACCUCAGAGUAGUUUGUAUGUCCAUUUCUCUCCUAAUGAGUGAUGAUGAUUUUUUUUCCUGGUGCUUGUUGCCCUUUGUAUAUCUCAUUUAGGGAAAUGUCAAUUCAGGACUUUUGCCCAUUUUCAAAAAUUGUGUUGUCUUGUUUUGCUCUUGGUGGUCAAGCUUCUAAUAUUGAACCCACAGCCUGACCUGGCUUUGGGAUCCAGAUCCAGUUCCUAUGGUUUGUGCAUGGCAGGUAGUUAAGUGUGGAUAUUUUGGUGAGCAGCUGCACACAUCCCUGGGCUUUCCUCCCAAGAGGUCUGCUGAAAUUCCAUCUUUUCCUUUCCAUUGUAGC
rnacentral:lncRNA from 9 species